GACGAACGCUGGCGGCGUGCUUAACACAUGCAAGUCGAACGGUAAGGCCCCUUCGGGGGUACACGAGUGGCGAACGGGUGAGUAACACGUGGGUGAUCUCCCCUGCACUUCGGGAUAAGCCUGGGAACAUGGGUCUAAUACCGGAUAGGACCUCUGCACGCAUGGGCGGGGGUGGAAAGCUUUUGCGGUGUGGGGUGGGCCAGCCGCCGAGCAGCUUGUUGGUGGGGUGGUGGCCAACCAAGGCGACGACGGGUAGCCGGGCUAAGAGGGUCUCCGGCCGCACUGGGACUGAGAUACGCCCCAGCCUCCUACGGGAGGCAGCAGUGGGGAAUAGUGCACAAUGGGCGCAAGCCUGAUGCAGCGACGCCGCGUGAGGGAUGACGGCCUUCGGGUUGUAAACCUCUUUCACCAGGGGCGAAGCGCAAGUGACGGUACCUGGAGAAGAAGCACCGGCCAACUACGUGCCAGCCGCCGCCGUAA
rnacentral:rRNA from 1 species